UCUUGUGGCUUUCAAGCAGGGAACCUAUGAAAUGAUACAGAGAAGAUUAGCAUGGCCCCAGCGCAAGGAUGACAUGCAAAUUGAUGAAGUGUUUCAUUUUUUA
rnacentral:snRNA from 1 species